GUGUGAUUUUGGAUUGUACGUGUGCUUGAUAAUGAUGAAUGGAAACAAAUUCAAUACACCAAUCAGUAAUGUGAGCAAACAAAAUAUAUGCCUCAUACUUUAACCAUACAUUUAAUUUGUUCAGGAUAUAUAUUUCAGCAUUAGUAAACUAAAUUUCGUUUCUUCGUAGGGGGAUUCAGCAUUAGUAAGAAGAUCUCUGGCUUUGACUAUGGAACGAAAUAAACAUCAGAGCAUGGAUUAUGUUACGGAAUUCGUAGUCAACGUCGAUGAUUGUCGAGGUGAUACGGAGGAAGCUAAUGAUUUAUAUAAUACUACGAUGACUUUGUAAACCAAAUUUUAUAAUGUUCGGGGAUAAUUGUCUACAUGUAAAUUCUU
rnacentral:lncRNA from 1 species